CGACCCAAGGGUUCGCCUGGGGCCCGUCGGGCGGCGCCGGUAGCCUGGUCUCCUGCGGGGACGUUUCAGGCGGUGCCGCUUCGUGCGAGCGGCCGAGCCUCCGGGGACACUGAGUUUUCCUCGCAAGGCUGAGAGCAGCCCAGUUUCCAGCCCCGGGGGAGGGAAGUGGUACUGAGGUGCACUUGGGCCGAGGUAGCCCGGGGAGGGGGGGACUGAGAGUGGGUACCCCGAGGUAUAGUUGCGGGGGGGGCGUCAAGGCACGGCAAGGAGAGUGAUGAAGAACGGAGGGGGACAGCGAGGAACAGUGAGUGAGAGGCCGUGGUGAUGAUGAGGGGCAGUGAUGGAUGACAGAGCUGUACAGCCAGGGGUGGAGGAGGAGGACCGUGAAGAAAGUGGGGUCUGGGAGAGAGGGCAGGGAACUGAGGGGCAGGGAGGGACCGCAUGAGUCUGAAGACAGUUCGGGAUGGCGGAGGAGGUGAGGCCACCUGGAUGCUUGCAAGCGGUGGUGUGGGACUGAAGCCAGCGAGCGGAUCAUGAACCACUGCAGGACAUAGAAUGGUGACAAUGUUGUCAUCUAUACUUGACACAGUCUGAAGAGGAGGUGAUUCCAAGGUGCCUGGAGAGCGGCAAUGAUUUGUGGGAUGUCCUCCCUGCAGGGUCCCUCACCUGAGGCCAUGAGGAAAGCCUGUGUAGGAGUGAAGGGCCAGGUCGCAGCUUCUCGCUGAUCUGAAGGGAAGGUCAAAGUGGCUGUUAGUGAGUCCUCCUCUGCUGUGCUCCUUCUCAAGAGGGUCUGGAGCGUAUCUACUUCCCAGCGCCUGAGUCGGGGAAAGAGACGCCGCUGGAGCAGCUGCUGGUUCUUCCGGAACUAAGUUGACGUUAGAAACGGGGAAGGGGGAGGAGUGAUGAGUGAUGGGGCUGUGAAAGUGGGAAUCUGCUGUGUUUCUGGCUCAUGCAACCCUUGGAUGCCCAAUGAAAAACUUGUGAGCCUUGGAGAGUUUAGUCUCUGGUAAGGGGUAUCACAAAGCAUUCAAAUCAAAUUUAGCAAGCUGCUUGUCAUCCUGCCCAUCUGCCAAUCACAGUUCUAGCACCAGUAAGAAGAGCUAUAACCUGGGUCCCUUUCGGAAAAGAAAAUGGCAGACAAUGGCUUGGCAGCAUACACCUUUAAUCCUCGUACGUGAAUCUCUGAGUUCCAGGCCGGCCAGAGCAGCACAGUGAGACCCUGUCUCAGAAAAUAGAGUGCCAAGCCAGAGUGUAGCGGCGGCGGGAGACUGCGUGGGCAGGGCUGGCGGGAGAUGGCAGAGACACACUGAGACCCGGAUGAAGUGUGAGAAGAGAUGGUCGAAAUGAAAAGCCUGCCAAAGGGAGCAGCCUAACGCGGCAGUGGUGCAGUGGGACAGCGCGGGACUCAGCAUGACGACACUAGGAGGCCGCCGCAGGUGUCCACGGAGCAGAGCGAGAAGAUUCUAGAAACACAGAUGCUGGGCUUCUGUUUGGAUCUGGAAUCAAUAGGCCUUCACGAUCCCGCUAAGAGGAGUGCAACUGUGCCUGUUCUCUUGUUCCAAAGUUUGCCCGGUGACUGACCCCGUCAUUGCCAGGUGGUGCGUGAUGGACGCAGACACCGUGCUUGCUCAGGAGGGUUGCGAAGAGCCGUGGACGCUGGGGACAGAGGCUGCCUCAGGUGCAAGUUCAUCUCCUCUUGCCCUCGGCCGUUUACUGGCAAGGGAGUGACGCUGAGCUGGCAGCCUUAUUCUGGAAAACAUGGGUUGAUACUGAUUUUCUACAGCGAAACCUUUGGAGUCCAGAGCAUUGCAAAGGCGACGAGAAAGUAAAGGCUCCACUGGAGUGCUGCGCCCCAGGCUCUGGGGUUCUGACUGUACAAGAGAGACCAUGAAUUUCAGAAAAGUGGUUUGAUCGCAAUUUUUAACUGAGGCAUGUGUCUGUCCACACCUGACCAUCUCUUUUGAGUCGUUUCGCAUCUCUUCUUCAGUCAGUCUGACGGUGGCGGUAGAGCCAUCGCUGCCCUGUCCCCAGAUUAUGCUCUUUCUCACCAUAAUGAAUAUGUCUGGCACCUUAACAGUUGCAGGGCUGUGCACAUAUGUGGGUUUUUCCAAGUUCUUAAUAUGAUAUUAAUAUUCCUCCUUUGAUCCUUAGGAGUAGGUGAAAGCCAUCAGGGAAAUACAGGACAGAAACUUAGAUUCCUUAAUUUGGGAAUCUAAGAAAACAGCUCUGUUAGCCAGCUCUUCCUGCUGCAUGGGACAUGUCAGGGCAUCCAAGGUGAUCGCUGAUCAUUCCACACAUGUUUACUGAGUACCUGCCAUAUGCGUUUCUGAUGAUUGUACCAUUUCAAAGUAAAAUUUACAGUAGUUUCCAGCCACCUAAGCUUCCUGGUCGCUUCUCUCUUUCUUUUAAUGCUUUCAUAUGCCUCUGCCGUGCCUCCUUAGAGCGUCGGAAACAUAGGCAGCACUGCUUCUUCUGUGUGCCUCUGGUCCACAGCACCACCUUGGACAUAGGACAAGAGAUGAGCCUAACUGACAUAACAUACAAAGGAAAAUUCACUGGAGGAAAGCCAAAGACUCCACAGCCUUCUGUUUUGAGAAGCAG